CUCGCUUCAUUGGCUUUUUAGUCUACUGGGUAAGGUUGAUCAUUUCCUUUGCCCUGACAACCAUAUGAAGCAAUAUCAAGGUGCUCCCCUCGCUAUCCAUUGCAAACCUACAAUUUUUUUUGCCUUUGGACGUUGGGGAUCUACAUGU